rnacentral:misc_RNA from 1 species
GAUGAAGAACGUAGCGAAAUGCGAUAAGUAAUGUGAAUUGCAGAAUUCAGUGAAUCAUCGAAUCUUUGAACGCACAUUGCGCCCGCCAGUAUUCUGGCGGGCAUGCCUGUCUGAGCGUCAUUUCAACCCUCAUGCCCCUAGGCGUGGUGUUGGGGAUCGGCCAAAGCCCGCGAGGGACGGCCGGCCCCUAAAUCUAGUGGCGGACCCGUCGUGGCCUCCUCUGCGAAGUAGUGAUAUUCCGCAUCGGAGAGCGAUGAGCCCCUGCCGUUAAACCCCCAACUUUCCAAGGUUGACCUCAGAUCAGGUAGGAAUACCCGCUGAACUUAAGCAUAUCAAUAAGCGGAGGA